CGGCAAACCGCUAAGUUUCUACUGAAACUAAGAAUUAUAAUAAUCUUAAGAAAAUACAUGAAAAACAAUAUGGCUGCAUUUACACUUCAAAUCUUAAUGCACAGAUCCGAUCUUUUGACCAUAUCCGAUAUUUUGUCCUGCCUGUUUACACACGCCUCAUAUAUCCGAUGUCCGUGUUUACAUUAGGCAGCGCAACACUGCAUUAAUUCAUUUACUGAGAUACAAAAAAAGUCAUUUAAGAAAGCAAGAGAAGCAGAAGAGGAGUUUUUACUAUUGUAUGAUGUAAAUAAGUCUAAAACCUAGAUUUACCAUGUAAGCAAUACAAAUUUCAAUACUUAAAAAUCGUUACAAUUAGCUUAAAUUUAUUUAGCUAUCUAACGUUGAUAUUACCUUUUUUCCAACUAAUGACUGAUGUAACAAUUUAGAAACAAUUAUAUAUCGCUACCAUUAACAUAAUCACACAUUUAAAGUAAAGGCCAUUGUUGAUUAACUUACCUUCGGCCACAUGAUCAUCAUCAUCAUCAUUCUCUUUUUCUGUCAUCACAUCUUGUUCUUCAAAACUGUUGAGAACUUCGGGGGGCCUGCAGCUAGGCUUAUCACCUAAAAUUUGUUCCAGCUGGUCGUAAAAUGGGCAAGUCAGUCUAUCCAGGCCACUUCGAUUGUUGUGAUCUUUUAUUUCUUUAUAUUUGCCUUUAACACUCUUAAUUUUACGCUGGCAUUGCAGCCAGGUUCAGUUGUAGCCAUUAUCAUGCAUGGCCCUCGAUAUCUCCUCAUAUACAGCCCGAUUUCGGUAUGAUCCAUUCAAUUUUGCCUGGGUUGAUGCCUCUCCCCAAAAACUUAUAAGGCGUGAAACCUCCUCCUGGCUCCACUGACUUCCAUCCAUUACCUCCUGAAAUGUUUUCGGAAAACCGCGCGUCUGUCUUCUUCUGUAACUACACACUCUCUUUCUGGUUUUAUUGGCGGAGCACAACCAACUUGUUCAGUUGCAUACCGCCACCUACUGUACCGGGGUGUGUAACUCCUCCUUACUUCUGGUGCGAAAUGAUGACGGUCAGCGCAAAAAGUCGUGCGACACUGACGUCAUCAUCAAGCUGAAUCGGAUGUGUGUGUUUAGACGCAGUUCGGAUGUCUGGAUAUCGGAUAUAUAUCCGAUAAAAAUCCACAUUUGGAAGUGGCUCAGAUCGGAUAUGAAAAAAUCGUAUCUCGGUAAGUUUUCUGUGUUUACACACGUGCAGCAAUAUGCAAUCUGUGUCAGAUGUGAGCACCAAAUCCGAUUUUUUGUGACAGUGUAAAUGCGGCCUAUGAGACUGCAUAUAGGGCUUAUUUAACGAAAUACAUACAUAUUUUUUUUAUAUUUCAGUUUAAAAGAAUUUUAAGAAUAGAAUAAAAAAAUUAGAGAUAGUGUUUAAUACAAUAUAGUCCAUGUGCAGGCGUGGUAAUUUGGACAUAUAUAGACAACAAAACGAGUUUGUGAUUUCAUAAUCAUUUGAGGAGAUUUUAAAUUGUUAUAGUGAUUAUGUCAAUGUGUGACUUUGCCAUGACGCGUGUGCUGUGCGCGCUAAACACGUGCCCUUUUUAAAACACUAGGCUUGUUCGACUUCAUGCGGCGCUGCAAGAACCGACAGCCAGAUGACAUCAAAGUACCACGAGAACGAUUCGAGAACUCAUACGAAGUGUAAUUUCGUCUCGCGGCACUUUAACGUCAUCCGUCUGUCAGUUCUAGCGGGGCCGCAGGAAGUCGAACAGCCUUCUCUCUCAACACGGAUUACCAUGAGGCGGGACUGACGACUUACAACGAAGCUUCUCUUUCACGGGUUUCUUUACUGUUUUCAGUAGUGACAAAAUAACCUCUAUAAUAGAAGAAAAGCUGAAGAUGUCAACAUUUUCUGAAGGGAGCUACAGACAGAGAUGUAAACUCAGGCGAGUUGAGAGCGUAUUAACUCACUUUAUAUGCACUUUUUUCAUGACAUAUUACCAUGCAUCUUGUCAUUUUUCUGCGUCUAUAGCAGUUAUUCUAGGAAGGUUUUAACAUCCAAACGUGAGUGGCACAUAUUAAAUGAACAAGUAAACCUAAAAACAAAGAUUCUGUUAUAUUUUGUAUACUAUAAUUUUCUUUUCAGUGUUUCACAUCCUUUUAAUCAAUAUUGAUUGCUUUGUGACAAAUUGCAUGUUAUGUUUGUAGAUUUUCCAUGCUGAUAUUUGUGCAGCAGAGUUGAAGCAGACCUGUCAGAAAACAUCUCUAAGGUGCAAUGAAUCUCAUAACUAGAUACACAUCAUGAGAUAACUUGAGCUUACGUCUCAGUUUGGAUCCAGCUCUUACUUGUGAAGACUUUAGAUGAAGUAAACACUCACAAAAACAAUAUAUGAUGGCAUCUAUAGAUGGACAUACGCAACUGCAAAUGUAAUAUAUUGUAAUUACUGCACCAGAGCGCAACUCUGCAGAUUUUCAAAUCACUUAAUAUUGUUACAAAUACAAUAGAUAUUAAUAUUUGAAAAACAUUUUUUACUCUUUAUUCUUUAGCUAAUUUUACUGAUUUAUUUCCAUUUAUUUGUCCACAAUACUCUGCCAAAAUGAUGUUUUGCAUCAUCCAAAUAUUGUUAAUGUACAUAUUACAGACAUUGUAACAACACAAAGUGGGUUGAAAUCCAAAUUAAACCAGGAUACUUUGUCACAAGCCACAACAGAUCUCACAAAGCCCAUUUCAACCUUUAACUCAAUUUUGACAAAAUGCAUGCGUAGUUACUGCGCUUUGGAUUUGUAGGGCAGUAUAGUAGUUUUAUAGUAAUGCUGGAGUGAAACCAUGGUAACCAUAUAUUUUUAAAUCAUGAUAAAGUUUGUGGUUACCAAAAUGUAGUACUAACCUAUGCUGUUGUAAGAGAAUGUUUAUUCUUUAUAAUUGUUGUAAAACCAUGGUUGAUUUUAUAUUUACCAUGUUUUACUGCAAAUGAUGGUAAAAUCAUGGAUAACUUUGAAUGGGUACAGAAAAGUGUAAACUGGUUGUUUUUAUUUGUA